UACGUAGGGGGCUAGCGUUGUCCGGAAUCAUUGGGCGUAAAGAGCGUGUAGGCGGCCCGGUAAGUCCGCUGUGAAAGUCGGGGGCUCAACCCUCGAAUGCCGGUGGAUACUGUCGGGCUAGAGUGCGGAAGAGGCGAGUGGAAUUCCCGGGGUAGCGGUGAAAUGCGCAGAUAUCGGGAGGAACACCAAUGGCGAAGGCAGCUCGCUGGGACGGUACUGACGCUGAGGCGCGAAAGCGUGGGGAGCAAACAGG
rnacentral:rRNA from 1 species